rnacentral:rRNA from 1 species
GUCCACGCCCUAAACGAUGUCUACUAGUUGUUGGUGGAGUAAAUCCAUGAGUAACGCAGCUAACGCGUGAAGUAGACCGCCUGGGAGUACGGUCGCAAGAUUAAACUCAAAUGAAUUGACGGGGCCCGCACAAGCGGUGGAUUAUGUGGAUUAAUUCGAUGCAACGCGAAAACCUUACCUGGCCUUGACAUGUAACGAACUUUCCAGAGAUGGAUUGGUGCUCGAAAGAGAGCGUUAACACAGGUGCUGCAUGGCUGUCGU